CAUGCGAGUCGAGAGGGUUCGGCCCUCGGCAGACUGCUCAGUAACACGUGGAUAACCUACCCUUAGGUGGAGGAUAAUCUCGGGAAACUGAGAAUAAUACUCCAUAGAUCUAGGAUGCUGGAAUGCACCUAGAUUGAAAGCUCUGGCGCUUAAGGAUGGGUUUGUGGAUUAUUAGGUUGUAGUCAGGGUAAAGACCUGACUAGCCUACGGCGGAUAUGGGUUGUGAGAGCAAUAGCCCAGAGACGAUAUCUGAGACACGAUAUCGGGCCCUACGGGGCGCAGCAGGCGCGAAAUCUUCACAAUGUGCGAAAGCACGAUGAGGGGAUCCCAAGUGCUGGCACGUAAGUGUCAGCUGUUUCUUUGUCUAAAAAACAAAGAGAGUAAGAGCUGGGUAAGACGGGUGCCAGCCGCCGCGGUAAUACCUGCAGCUCAAGUGGUGGCCGCUAUUAUUGGGCCUAAAACGUCCGUAGCCGGUUUAGUAAAUGCUUGGGUAAAUUGUGUAGCUUAACUAUACGAAUACCGGGUAGACUGCUAAACUUGGGACCGGGAGAGGCUAGAGGUACUCCUAGGGUAGAGGUGAAAUUCUGUAAUCCUAGGGGGACCACCAGUGGCGAAGGCGUCUAGCUAGAACGGGUCUGACGGUGAGGGACGAAGCCCUGGGGCGCAAACCGGAUUAGAUACCCGGGUAGUCCAGGGUGUAAACGCUG
rnacentral:rRNA from 1 species